rnacentral:rRNA from 1 species
ACACUCCUGCGGGAGGCAGCAGUGGGGAAUUUUGGACAAUGGGCGAAAGCCUGAUCCAGCAAUGCCGCGUGAGUGAAGAAGGCCUUCGGGUUGUAAAGCUCUUUUGUCAGGGAAGAAACGGUGAGAGCUAAUAUCUUUUGCUAAUGACGGUACCUGAAGAAUAAGCACCGGCUAACUACGUGCCAGCAGCCGCGGUAAUACGUAGGGUGCAAGCGUUAAUCGGAAUUACUGGGCGUAAAGCGUGCGCAGGCGGUUUUGUAAGUCUGAUGUGAAAUCCCCGGGCUCAACCUGGGAAUUGCAUUGGAGACUGCAAGGCUAGAAUCUGGCAGAGGGGGGUAGAAUUCCACGUGUAGCAGUGAAAUGCGUAGAUAUGUGGAGGAACACCGAUGGCGAAGGCAGCCCCCUGGGUCAAGAUUGACGCUCAUGCACGAAAGCGUGGGGAGCAAACAGGAUUAGAAACCCGAGUAGUCCCAUGAU